UGGCUCAGAACGAACGCUGGCGGCGCGUUUAAGCAUGCAAGUCGAGCGGCAAGGGCCUUCGGGCCCCUAGUAGCGGCGGACGGGUGAGUAACACGUGGACAAUCUGCCCCCCGGCCCGGGAUAGCCCAGGGAAACCUGGAUUAAUACCGGAUGAGACGGGACCCGCGAUGGCGGGAUCCGGGAAAGGCGCUGCGGCGCCGCCGGGGGAUGAGUCUGCGUCCCAUUAGCUAGACGGCGGGGUAACGGCCCACCGUGGCGACGAUGGGUAGCCGGCCUGAGAGGGUGGACGGCCACAUUGGAACUGAGACACGGUCCAGACUCCUACGGGAGGCAGCAGCUAAGAAUCUUCCGCAAUGGGCGAAAGCCUGACGGAGCGACGCCCGCGUGAACGAAGAAGGCCGUGAGGUUGUAAAGUUCUUUUCGGGAGGGGGAACAACCGUGGCAGGGAAUGGCCGCGGGAUGACGUGAAUCCCGGAAUAAGCCCCGGCUAACUAGGUGCCAGCCGCAGC
rnacentral:rRNA from 1 species